rnacentral:rRNA from 1 species
UACAGAGGUCUCAAGCGUUGUUCGGAUUCAUUGGGCGUAAAGGGUGCGUAGGCGGCGCGGUAAGUCGGGUGUGAAAGUCAAAGGCUCAACCUUUGAAAGCCGGUGGAUACUGCAGGGCUAGAGUCCGGAAGAGGCGAGUGGAAUUCCUGGUGUAGCGGUGGAAUGCGCAGAUAUCAGGAGGAACACCAAUAGCGAAGGCAGCUCGCUGGGACGGUACUGACGCUAAGGCGCGAAAGCGUGGGGAGCGAACAGG